rnacentral:rRNA from 1 species
UACGUAGGUGGCAAGCGUUGUCCGGAAUUAUUGGGCGUAAAGCGCGCGCAGGCGGCCUUUUAAGUCUGAUGUGAAAUCUUGCGGCUCAACCGCAAGCGGUCAUUGGAAACUGGGAGGCUUGAGUACAGAAGAGGAGAGUGGAAUUCCACGUGUAGCGGUGAAAUGCGUAGAUAUGUGGAGGAACACCAGUGGCGAAGGCGACUCUCUGGUCUGUUCUUGACGCUGAGGCGCGAAAGCUAGGGGAGCAAACGGG